CACGUUACCUUCAGGUCUAAAACGAUGACAAUCUAAAUGUUAGAAACAACAGUAUAAUAAAUGUGUUCCUGGUUUGGUUUGACUUCAUGUUACUUUUUGUUUUCCUUAAGUGUUGCAUCCCAUUUAGUAUUUUUGAUAUCAUCCCUUUACAUUUUUAAACAGCGUAGCAUUCCCUCUGUCUACUUGCAGAGAAGUUUAGGGGUUAAAACUCCACCAACCAUCACUGGGUGCAUUGAGGAGAUAAAAGAGACACCUGUGAUCUGUUUAAUCAGAUGGAAUAUUUAUAUGAUCUAUUUACACACUGAGGGCAUAUUGUGUAUUUCGUUUGUAGCAUCAUCUUAAACUUCUUUCAAGAAUUCUGAUGCUCCGUUAAGGAGGAUUUCUUUGAUGAGGGACGGUGGACCUUAAUAAAACUCACUGCCAGUAAAGACACGAGGAAAUGUACUGUGGAACAAACAUCAAGUCUGUUAUGAGAAGUGUUGGACUAGUUGCUGCUGUUGUACCAUAAAUGACUCGUUCCUUUAAUGUCAGAAUAAAACCAAACGUGACGCUUGUCUGUCAGAAGACUCGUCUUCUUCUUCUCUGGUUUUGACGAGUCUUUUUACACGUCCUCGUUGGCUCAAUCGGUUCUAGUUAUUGAAGGUGGUGAUGAUGAUGAUGAUGAUGAAGGUGGUGGUGGUGAGGAUGAUGAAGGUGAUGGUGGUGAGGAUGAUGAUGAAGGUGUUGGUGGUGAGGAUGAUGAUGAAGGUGUUGGUGGUGAGGAUGAUGAGGGUGGUGUUGGUGAGGAUGAUGAUGAAGGUGUUGGUGGUGAGGAUGAUGAAGGUGGUGACGAUGA
ensembl:lncRNA